rnacentral:rRNA from 1 species
UCAGUUCGGAUCGGAGUCUGCAACCCGACUCCGUGAAGCUGGAUUCGCUAGUAAUCGCGCAUCAGCCAUGGCGCGGUGAAUACGUUCCCGGGCCUUGUACACACCGCCCGUCAAGCCAUGGAAGGCCGGGGGCGCUUGAAGUGCGUUGCCGCAAGGCGCGCCCUAGAGCGAAACCGGUGACUGGGGCUAAGUCGUAACAAGGUAAC